UACGAAGGGGGCUAGCGUUGCUCGGAAUCACUGGGCGUAAAGGGUGCGUAGGCGGGUCUUUAAGUCAGGGGUGAAAUCCUGGAGCUCAACUCCAGAACUGCCUUUGAUACUGAGGAUCUUGAGUUCGGGAGAGGUGAGUGGAACUGCGAGUGUAGAGGUGAAAUUCGUAGAUAUUCGCAAAGAACACCAGUGGCGAAGGCGGCUCACUGGCCCGAUACUGACGGCUGAGGCAC
rnacentral:rRNA from 1 species